rnacentral:misc_RNA from 1 species
AAAAUAAGAAUAAGAACUGGGCCUAAACGUCAUUCAUUUUUUUCUCUAAAAGGUAUUUUUGAUUUCACAUGAAAUAAUAAAUUGUUAUCUUAUUUUGAAACGGUUUACAGAGCAUGAGAGCAAGCUUAUGCUAGCUGCCAGCCUGCCAGCUGAUUCGCAAUUUCUCAAAUAAGCAAAGAAAAAGAAGUCCUUCCUUCUGAGUUCAGUGAUUGUGCUGUUGUGUUAAAUUUUAAUUACGAUUGAAGUAUUUUCAAACUAAAUUCUAAUAUUGAACUCAUUUUAUAGUUUUGGUUUAAUCUUUAUAGUCGAUUAUUCAUGGAUAUCAGCUUCUAAGGUAAUUGUGUUUGAAAUCCAAGACCAGUGGUAAUUCAACUUGGUCGCCAUGCCGAAUUUAUUUAUUGUUCGUUAGGUUAAUACUUUUUAAAAAGCAUCGUGACAAUUGUGCUAAAACUUGCUUUGGUUUUUGUAAAGUAUGAAUUCCAAUAAAGAUACAAAUCGUCGUGUAUUAGCUAUACAAGCUAAGAAAAAACGACACAAACCAGCAAAGUGGAAAUCUAAGAAUGAAGAACAUACAAAUUCUACCACACCUAAGGAUAAUGUAGGCCUAAUGAAUUCUAGCAAAGCGGAUCCAAGCAACUCGUCUUCAAAUGAAACUAUUGAAGAUAACGAGGACGAAGGUCCAUACUCUUCGGAAGAAGAAGAACAAGAAGAUUCUUCGGACUAUUGCAAAGGAGGAUAUCAUCCAGUGAAAAUAGGCGAUGUAUUCCGGAGUAGAUAUCAUGUAACAAGAAAGUUGGGUUGGGGCCAUUUUUCUACAGUUUGGCUUUGUUGGGAUCUGGUUGAUAAGAGGUUUGUAGCCUUGAAAGUUGUAAAGAGUGCGCCUCAUUUCACGGAAACAGCUUUAGAUGAAAUAAAGCUUCUUAAAAUUGUUCGUGACAGUGAUCCCAACGAUAAAAAGAGGGAAAAAGUAGUCCAGUUACUGAAUGAUUUUAAAAUUUCUGGUGUCAAUGGAACACAUGUAUGUAUGGUUUUUGAAGUGCUUGGACAUACUUUGUUGAGACUUAUUAUUAAAAGUAAUUAUAGGGGCAUUCCACCUUUUAAUGUAAAAAGGAUAAUAAGGCAAGUUCUUGAAGGAUUGGACUAUUUGCAUACAAAGUGUCGUAUAAUUCAUACUGAUAUAAAGCCCGAAAAUAUCUUGCUGUGUGUCGGUGAAAGUUAUAUCAGAAAAUUGGCAUGUGAAGCUAGGGACCUUCAUCUAACGGGAGGGAAGCUACCUGUUUCUCAUGUGAGUACUGCUCCUAAGGAGUUCCAAGAACAAACACCAAACUCAAAAAUGUCAAAGAAUCGUAAAAAGAAGUUAAAGAAGAAAGCUAAACGACAUACUGAACUCCUCAAACAACAAAUGCAACACAUUGAAGAAUUGGAAGAACAAAAAAUCUCGUCGACAGUUGAAAUGAAAGAUGACAACUUGUUUCCUGUCACACCAAUCAAAGAUAGCAGUCUCAUUGAAAUUGAUGAUGAUGAAAAUGCGUUGGACGCCUCAAAAAAUGAAAAUAUGUAUGAAAAUGGUUGUGAUGAGGUAAUGGUAGUAAGUGAAGAAGGUGGUUCGGGAGAAAAAACCAAAAGUGUUGAUUUGAACAGGUGUUCGCCGCUGCUUGACAGCCCUCUCAACAUGGCUUCCAACGUAGCUUGUGCAGGGGAAAACGCAAGUGUAGCCAGAGAAGAAGAUUCGCCUUUAUUCUCACCUCAGAACUCUGAAAGGAAAUAUGAUGAAAACGACUGCAACCCAGCAUAUUGGGCGUGUGAUGUGGAUGUGAAGAUAGCUGAUUUGGGCAACGCGUGUUAUGUGAAUAAUCAUUUCACGGAUGAUAUUCAGACUCGUCAGUAUAGAUCAUUGGAGGUGUUGAUUGGAGCUGGAUAUGAUACAUCAGCUGACAUCUGGAGCACUGCUUGUGUUGCUUUCGAAUUGGCCACUGGUGAUUAUUUAUUCGAACCGCACGCCGGAGAGCAUUAUACAAGAGAUGAAGAUCAAUUGGCUCACAUCAUUGAACUUCUUGGUGAUAUUCCAGAAAGUGUUAUUAACUCGGGCAAACAUUCUAAACAGUUUUUCAACAAAAAAGGAGAAUUGAAGCACAUCAGAGGGCUAAAGCCGUGGGCGUUGGAUGAUGUUCUCAUCGAGAAGUAUCACUGGUUGCCGAAAGAGGCGGCAGAGUUUUCAUCUUUUCUGCGUCCCAUGUUGGAAUUCGAUUAUCGUCGUAGAGCUACGGCGGCUGAAUGCCUGAACCAUCCCUGGCUGAAGUGUUGAAACUGAUUUUUUCAAGCACUGCAGCAUUUAUUACGUUUAGUUAUCUUUCAAAAUUCCUUGUAAAAACUAUCUUAGUUUUUUUUAAUAGUUCAUUGUGACAUUUUUCGUUUUUCUACUUCCACUGUUUGAAAUUGAGUUCUUAGCUGAAUGACAAAACAUAGUUCAUAAAGCUUAUGCAAAUUUUUAACACAACAUUUUAAUCAGAAUAAAUUGUGACAAGUUAAAUUUGACUCAAAAAUAUCACUUUUUGCUGAAGGAAAUAUCAAUCAUAAAAUUGAGAUGGGAAUUUUUAAAGUUUGCGUUGUUGGAGCCGGAAUAGUGGGGUUGACAACUGCGCUUGAAAUUCAAAGUACGUUUCCAUCAGCUGACGUGUGCCUGAUUGCUGAUCAAUUCAACGAAGCGACGACAAGUGACGGAGCCGCGGGACUCUUUCGACCCGGCAUCAGCUUCUGUGGGCCCGAUCUUCAAAUCACAAAGAAAUGGAUAAAAGAUUCUUACACCUAUUAUAACGAUCUUAUAUCAGAUGAGUGUGGUAUUAAGGAGAUUGGAGGAUACAUAUUCUCUUCAACCAGCAAAUCAAAUGUUCAGAACCAUUUGUUGGAAGAUGUGGUGCCCAUCUACCGUCCUGCUACCAAUGGGGAGCUCAAGUUGUGCCCGGGCCAAUGGCAGUACGGCUCUUACUUCACCACUCUCCUUGUCGAAUGUCGACGCUUUCUGCCCUGGGCGCUCAACAGGUUCAAGAACAAUGGCGGUCGAGUUGUAAAGAAGUUAAUUCAAAGCUUUGACGAAAUACCUGGCGACUUUGAUGUGAUCAUGAACUGCACAGGAUUUGGUGCCAAAUACUUAUGUAAAGAUAUAAAAAUGGUUCCGAUACGCGGGCAGGUAAUAAAGGUGAAAGCUCCUUGGCUACAAACCUUCUACUACGGUGAUUAUGACACUUACAUCAUACCAGGAUUUGAGGGGAAUGUGACGCUCGGCGGUUGCCGGAAUUUCGACAGCUAUGACGUGUCGUUGAGUAGAUACGACAGAGCAGCCAUCAUGGAGCGUUGCUGUUCGCUUGUGCCGGAGCUGAGUGCGGCUCCCGUCGUCCGAGAAUGGGUCGGGCUGCGACCGCAUCGAGACCCUGUACGCGUUCACUUUGAGAAACUCGCAAACAAAAAGUUCACAACUAUGGUCACGGAGGCUAUGGAGUAACCUCAGCACCAGGAACAGCAAAGCAUGCAGUUUCAAUUCUGCUGAAGGCUCUUUCAAGCAGCGCAAA